UACGAAGGGUGCAAACGUUGCUCGGAAUUAUUGGGCGUAAAGCGCACGUAGGCGGCUCUGAAAGUUGGAUGUGAAAUCCCUCGGCUCAACCAAGGAAGUGCAUCCAAAACUGCAGAGCUUGAGUACUUAAGAGGAUCGCGGAAUUCCCGGUGUAGAGGUGAAAUUCGUAGAUAUCAGGAGGAACACCGAUGGCGAAGGCAGGUCUCUGGGCCACUACUGACGCUGAGAAGCGAAAGCAUGGGGAGCGAACAGG
rnacentral:rRNA from 1 species